rnacentral:tRNA from 4 species
GCGGGAUGGAGCAGUCUGGUAGCUCGUCGGGCUCAUAACCCGAAGGUCGUUGGUUCAAAUCCAGCUCCCGC